ACAGGCAAUGUGUCAGCUUCAUAGUUGGUUGCCAUUACUAAACACAUGCUGCUUUUGGCAGCAGUUUAAUGAUUGACACUGUAUUUAAUGAGGUUUCCUUGU